rnacentral:misc_RNA from 1 species
UACGUAGGAGGCGAGCGUUGUCCGGAGUUACUGGGCGUAAAGGGUGCGCAGGCGGUCGCGCAGGUGGAUGGUGAAAUCUCCCGGCUUACCUGGGAGGGGGCCAUGCAAACCGCGUGACUUGAGGCUCGGGGAGGGGCGUGGAAUUCCGGGUGGAGCGGUGAAAUGCGUAGAGAUGUGGAGGAACACCAGUGGCGAAGGCGACUCUUUGGCCUAUAACUGACGCUGAGGCGCGAAAGCGUGGGGAGCAAACAGG